rnacentral:rRNA from 1 species
CACGUAGGGUGCGAGCGUUGUCCGGAAUUAUUGGGCGUAAAGAGCUCGUAGGCGGUGUGUCGCGUCGGCCGUGAAAACCUGCAGCUUAACUGUGGGCUUGCGGUCGAUACGGGCAUCACUGGAGUUCGGCAGGGGAGACUGGGAAUUCCUGGUGUAGCGGUGAAAUGACGCAGAUAUCAGGAGGAACACCGGUGGCGAAGGCGGGUCUCUGGGCCGAUACUGACGCUGAGGAGCGAAAGCGUGGGGAGCGAACAGG